GGCUGUGUGGACAAAUGAGAGGGAUAUGCUGUACAAUUGUCUGAGAGGCCAACCUGCGAAGCAAAGGAAUAGCAUCCAAGUACAAGAUCCGGGUUAAACGAGAGAAGGUGGCAACAAUUGUGAAACGUACAGGCCAGAAAACCGGACCAUCGACGUCACGCCACAAAAAUACUCUUUUCACCAUGAGUGUCAGAGAUAUAAAGGGGGUCAGGGCUGACGACUCCGCUCAACAACUGCAAAGACAGCUUAGCAAUUAGGCCCACCAUCGACACAUGACCGUGAGGACCACGUCUCAACGCUAUUAUACGUUGCUGAUGACAAUUUGAAUCUUCGAUACUAAAUAAAGGGAACAUUGUAUGGUUUCCACUCAUUAGUGAGGGAAGCAAAGGCUUCCUUAGUCGCUGUCAAUAAAACUAAUAACUUGUCCCACAAGCGCAUGUCCCAAUACAGACCCAUUCGACGCAAGACUGACCUAAAGUUCAAGGACAACAUGUUUCCAUGCGUCAAGGACGGGUCAGUCAGAUCCCAUACUACAGAAUUUGUACCUAAUCGGAAUUUCAUUUAAGGAACAAAGGAAUAUUAUAGAGCCGACUGCUCUUCAUACGCAAGCUUUUACAGAAGUGUUCUCCGAUUCCAUUAUGGUUUGACACACAAAUAUAAGGGACCAUACCGAAAUAUGAUCUAUUAAAUGUGGUCCUCUGUGAAUAGUUAAGUAGGCGAUGUCCAUUACGCUAUUGUAAUCUCGCGGCUUAAUGAUACGGCGAGGAUAAAUCCGCGAGGAACUCCAUUAAGUUAUUUACUGCGCCUGACAAUAAUAAACUAACAAAGAAACCAUUGCUAAAGCAAAUUGAAUAAAAAAUGGUC